rnacentral:rRNA from 1 species
GACUCAACACGGGCCAUCUCACCAGGCCAGUACUCUAGCAUGAUUGACAGAUUGAGAGCUCUUUCUCGAUUCAGAGGAUGGUGGUGCAUGGCCGUUCUUAGUUGGUGGAGUGAUCUGUCUGGUUAAUUCCGAUAACGAACGAGACUCUCCCCUGCUAACUAGUCGGUUGGAUCUUCUCACGCAUAUCUAUAUCCAUGCGAGUGGUGCUUCCGGUUCAGCUCGCGAGUACGCGUGCGCGUGUGCGCUCGUCGUCGAACCGGUCGGUCCUUCGUGGCAGGCUUGUUCGCGGCGGUGCGUGCCGUGUGCGUGAAAGCGAGUUCCGGUUGUGUACACUCGAAGUCCACCGCCAAAGUGUUUUAAAUCUUCUUAGAGGGAUCCACGGCUCUGAAGCCGUAAGAGACUGAGAGCAAUAACAGGUCUGUGAUGCCCUUAGAUGCCCUGGGCCGCACGCGCGCUACAAUGCCGGACGCAGCAGGCGUUUUCCCUACUCCGAGAGGAGCGGGCAACCCUCUGAAAGUCCUCACUCGGUUAUGCAUAUCUCUUUACGUGGGGUGCGCGUGCUUCACGGUGCGUGUGCCCCACUCGGCGUGCUAGGGCCUGGGGCUUGCAAUUCUUUCCCACAAACGAGGAAUGCCUAGUAGCGGCGAGUCACUGAGCUUGCCACGGCUUAGUCCCUGCCCUUUGUACACACCGCCCGUCGCUACUACCGAUUGGGUGUACCAGUGAGAGCCUUGGACUGGCGUCCUCUGCUGCUCGGCUCGCGCCGUGCUGCAGUUGGGUCUGACGGAAAGAGGUCCGAACUGGUGCACCUAGAGGAAGU